GUGGCGUUGACGUCUGGGUCUUACGCAACAGGAAUCUGUGAACCGUGUCAGGGCAGGAAUGCAGCAGCACUAAGCAGAACCUUCUGUGUGCCGUAAGGGCGCCUGGGCCGAGUUAACUGUAGGAGUAACGUCCGUGAAGACGGUUCGAGGUGCGGCGCGC
rnacentral:SRP_RNA from 1 species